AUCCCAUGAUGAGGAUAGGCUGUGAUAUAUUCUUGCAGCCUUUUCCAAGCUUCUGGGAUGGAUUCCAUCCCUGUCUGCUGGAAACAUGAAAUCUUCCCACACAGGGC